rnacentral:piRNA from 1 species
UCUCCACGCUUAAUUUUCNGUAAAACCAAGC